AUUGAACGCUGGCGGCAGGCCUAACACAUGCAAGUCGAACGAGCGGCGGACGGGUGAGUAAUGUCUGGGAAACUGCCUGAUGGAGGGGGAUAACUACUGGAAACGGUAGCUAAUACCGCAUACCAUCCGAUGAGCCCAUAUGGGAUUAGCUUGUAGGUGGGGUAACGGCUCACCUAGGCGACGAUCCCUAGCUGGUCUGAGAGGAUGACCAGCCACACUGGGACUGAGACACGGUCCAGACUCCUACGGGAGGCAGCAGUGGGGAAUAUUGCACAAUGGGCGCAAGCCUGAUGCAGCCAGGCCGCGUGUAUGAAGAAGGCCUUCGGGUUGUAAAGUACUUUCAGCCGGGAGGCGUUACCCACAGAAGAAGCACCGGCUAACUCCGUGCCAGCAGCCGCGGUAAUUC
rnacentral:rRNA from 1 species